UACGAGGGGGGCGAGCGUUGUUCGGAAUUAUUGGGCGUAAAGGGUGCGUAGGCGGUUGGGUAAGUCUGAUGUGAAAUCUAUGGGCUCAACUCAUAGUCUGCAUCGGAAACUGCCGGGCUUGAGUGUGGGAGAGGUGAGUGGAAUUCCUGGUGUAGCGGUGAAAUGCGUAGAUAUUAGGAAGAACACCAGUGGCGAAGGCGGCCAACUGGCCCGAUACUGACGCUCAUGUGCGAAAGCGUGGGGAGCAAACAGG
rnacentral:rRNA from 1 species